CCCGCAACGCAACGAGCCAGGCCCGGACCACCUUGAUGGUCCGGACCUGGCUCGUGUUCCCGUGCGGGUC
rnacentral:miRNA from 1 species